GGGUUGUGAGGUUAAGCGACUAAGCGUACACGGUGGAUGCCCUGGCAGUCAGAGGCGAUGAAGGGCGUGCUAAUCUGCGAUAAGCGCCGGUAAGGUGAUAUGAACCGUUAUAACCGGCGAUACCCGAAUGGGGAAACCCAGUGUGACUCGUCACACUAUCAUUAACUGAAUCCAUAGGUUAAUGAGGCGAACCGGGGGAACUGAAACAUCUAAGUACCCCGAGGAAAAGAAAUCAACCGAGAUUCCCCCAGUAGCGGCGAGCGAACGGGGAGGAGCCCAGAGCCUGAAUCAGCAUGUGUGUUAGUGGAAGCGUCUGGAAAGGCGCGCGAUACAGGGUGACAGCCCCGUACACAAAAGCGCAUGUGCUGUGAGCUCGAUGAGUAGGGCGGGACACGUGGUAUCCUGUCUGAAUAUGGGGGGACCAUCCUCCAAGGCUAAAUACUCCUGACUGACCGAUAGUGAACCAGUACCGUGAGGGAAAGGCGAAAAGAACCCCGGCGAGGGGAGUGAAAAAGAACCUGAAACCGUGUACGUACAAGCAGUGGGAGCACAGGUUUACCUGUGUGACUGCGUACCUUUUGUAUAAUGGGUCAGCGACUUAUAUUCUGUAGCAAGGUUAACCGUAUAGGGGAGCCGUAGGGAAACCGAGUCUUAACCGGGCGUUAAGUUGCAGGGUAUAGACCCGAAACCCGGUGAUCUAGCCAUGGGCAGGUUGAAGGUUGGGUAACACUAACUGGAGGACCGAACCGACUAAUGUUGAAAAAUUAGCGGAUGACCUGUGGCUGGGGGUGAAAGGCCAAUCAAACCGGGAGAUAGCUGGUUCUCCCCGAAAGCUAUUUAGGUAGCGCCUCGUGAAUUCAUCUCCGGGGGUAGAGCACUGUUUCGGCUAGGGGGCCAUCCCGGCUUACCAACCCGAUGCAAACUGCGAAUACCGGAGAAUGUUAUCACGGGAGACACACGGCGGGUGCUAACGUCCGUCGUGAAGAGGGAAACAACCCAGACCGCCAGCUAAGGUCCCAAAGUCAUGGUUAAGUGGGAAACGAUGUGGGAAGGCCCAGACAGCCAGGAUGUUGGCUUAGAAGCAGCCAUCAUUUAAAGAAAGCGUAAUAGCUCACUGGUCGAGUCGGCCUGCGCGGAAGAUGUAACGGGGCUAAACCAUGCACCGAAGCUGCGGCAGCGACGCUGAUGCGUUGUUGGGUAGGGGAGCGUUCUGUAAGCCUGUGAAGGUGGCCUGUGAGGGUUGCUGGAGGUAUCAGAAGUGCGAAUGCUGACAUAAGUAACGAUAAAGCGGGUGAAAAGCCCGCUCGCCGGAAGACCAAGGGUUCCUGUCCAACGUUAAUCGGGGCAGGGUGAGUCGACCCCUAAGGCGAGGCCGAAAGGCGUAGUCGAUGGGAAACGGGUUAAUAUUCCCGUACUUGGUGUUACUGCGAAGGGGGGACGGAGAAGGCUAUGUUGGCCGGGCGACGGUUGUCCCGGUUUAAGCGUGUAGGUGUGUGUUCCAGGUAAAUCCGGUUCACUUUAACACUGAGGCGUGAUGACGAGGCACUACGGUGCUGAAGCAACAAAUGCCCUGCUUCCAGGAAAAGCCUCUAAGCAUCAGGUAACAUCAAAUCGUACCCCAAACCGACACAGGUGGUCAGGUAGAGAAUACCAAGGCGCUUGAGAGAACUCGGGUGAAGGAACUAGGCAAAAUGGUGCCGUAACUUCGGGAGAAGGCACGCUGACACGUAGGUGAAGUGAUUUACUCAUGGAGCUGAAGUCAGUCGAAGAUACCAGCUGGCUGCAACUGUUUAUUAAAAACACAGCACUGUGCAAACACGAAAGUGGACGUAUACGGUGUGACGCCUGCCCGGUGCCGGAAGGUUAAUUGAUGGGGUCAGCGCAAGCGAAGCUCCUGAUCGAAGCCCCGGUAAACGGCGGCCGUAACUAUAACGGUCCUAAGGUAGCGAAAUUCCUUGUCGGGUAAGUUCCGACCUGCACGAAUGGCGUAAUGAUGGCCAGGCUGUCUCCACCCGAGACUCAGUGAAAUUGAACUCGCUGUGAAGAUGCAGUGUACCCGCGGCAAGACGGAAAGACCCCGUGAACCUUUACUAUAGCUUGACACUGAACAUUGAGCCUUGAUGUGUAGGAUAGGUGGGAGGCUUUGAAGCGUGGACGCCAGUCUGCAUGGAGCCGGCCUUGAAAUACCACCCUUUAAUGUUUGAUGUUCUAACGUGGACCCGUGAUCCGGGUUGCGGACAGUGUCUGGUGGGUAGUUUGACUGGGGCGGUCUCCUCCUAA
rnacentral:rRNA from 1 species